rnacentral:lncRNA from 1 species
UUUACUAUAUAUGAUUUUUAUAUUUAAUUUUUUUAUGUUUAAAAUUUUAAAUUAGAUUUAAAAUUUAAAACAUUAAAAAUAUUAUUUAAAAUAUUUUAAAAAUUAUGUAGAUUUCCCGCCGCGAAGCGCGGGCCUCCACUAGGAUAAAUGAACUAGGUGCGAGGAAUGACUUCCUAUUAUAUGAUAAAGACUAGGGAUAAUUGCCAAUAUACCCUUCAUGCGUUUGAAUAUAUUCGAUUUAUCCCUAUUUUUUUUCUUUCUAAAAUACCCUUUAUAUGUUCCACCGUUAUUCCAAAAUACCCCCGCAGUUAUCCCCUGUUAAACUAACUCGGGUUAAACAUGGGUUAAAUGUAUACCAGAGUUAAAACN